UGCAAGUCGAGCGAACAAGAAGAAGCUUGCUUCUUCUUUGUUAGCGGCGGAUGGGUGAGUAACACGUGGGCAACCUGCCCUGCAGAUGGGGAUAACUCCGGGAAACCGGGGCUAAUACCGAAUAAUCAGUUUGUUCGCAUGAACAAACUCUGAAAGACGGUUCACGCUGUCACUGCAGGAUGGGCCCGCGGCGCAUUAGCUAGUUGGUGGGAUAACGGCCUACCAAGGCGACGAUGCGUAGCCGACCUGAGAGGGUGAUCGGCCACACUGGGACUGAGACACGGCCCAGACUCCUACGGGAGGCAGCAGUAGGGAAUCUUCCACAAUGGACGAAAGUCUGAUGGAGCAAUGCCGCGUGAGUGAAGAAGGUUUUCGGAUCGUAAAACUCUGUUGUGAGGGAAGAACAAGUACGGGAGUAACUGCCCGUACCUUGACGGUACCUCAUUAGAAAGCCACGGCUAACUACGUGCCAGCAGCCGCGGUAAUACGUAGGUGGCAAGCGUUGUCCGGAAUUAUUGGGCGUAAAGCGCGCGCAGGCGGCCUUUUAAGUCUGAUGUGAAAGNNCNCGGCUCAACCGUGGAAGGUCAUUGGAAACUGAAAGGCUUGAGUACAGAAGAGGAAAGCGGAAUUCCACGUGUAGCGGUGAAAUGCGUAGAGAUGUGGAGGAA
rnacentral:rRNA from 1 species